AGCAGCCGCGGUAAUUCCAGCUCCAAUAGCGUAUAUUAAAGUUGUUGCAGUUAAAAAGCUCGUAGUUGAAUUUCGGGAUCAGUACGCUGGUCAUGCCUUUGGUAUGCACUGGUGUCACUGGUUUCUCCCUUCUGAAGAUCCGUGAUGUCAUUAAUUUGGUGUCGCGGGGAAUCAGGACUGUUACUUUGAAAAAAUUAGAGUGUUUAAAGCAGGCUCACGCCUGAAUACAUUAGCAUGGAAUAAUGAAAUAGGACGUUUGACCCUAUUUUGUUGGUUUCUAGGAUCGACGUAAUGAUUAAUAGGGAUAGUUGGGGGCAUUAGUAUUCAAUUGUCAGAGGUGAAAUUCUUGGAUUUAUUGAAGACUAACUACUGCGAAAGCAUUUGCCAAGGAUGUUUUCAUUAAUCAAGAACGAAAGUUAGGGGAUCGAAGACGAUCAGAUACCGUCGUAGUCUUAACCAUAAACUAUGCCGACUAGGGAUCGGAUGAUGUAUUUUUAAUUGA
rnacentral:rRNA from 1 species